rnacentral:lncRNA from 1 species
AAUGGGAGUCGACCUCAAUAGAGUUGAGAACAGAAAGCUGAGCUCCACCUAAAGCCGACCUCAACAAAUUGAGCCCAUCACAAAGUUGAUUUGAAUUAGAGGCCGUCUAUCGUAAAGUCGAUCUAAAUUGGAGGCCGUCUAUCGUAAAGUCGAUCUAUAUUGGAGGCUGUCUAUCACAGAGCCGACAUGAAGGCUGAAUACCGAUC